GACGAACGCUGGCGGCGUGCUUAACACAUGCAAGUCGAACGGACAGGCCCUGCUUUUGUGGGGUGCUCGAGUGGCGAACGGGUGAGUAACACGUGAGUAACCUGCCCUUGACUUUCGGAUAACUUCAGGAAACUGGGGCUCAUACCGGAUAGGAGCUCCUGCUGCAUGGUGUGGGUUGGAAAAUUUCGGCGGUUCGGGAUGGACUCGCGGCUUAUCCGCUUGUUGGUGGGGUAGUGGCUUACCAAGGCUUUGACGGGUAGCCGGCCUGAGAGGGUGACCGGCCACAUUGGGACUGAGAGACGGACCAGAAGGCUACGGGAGGCAGCAGUGGGGAAUAUUGCACAAUGGGCGGAAGCCUGAUGCAGCAACGCCGCGUGCGGGAUGACGGCCUUCGGGGUGUAAACCGCUGUCGCCUGUGACGAAGCGUGAGUGACGGUAAUGGGUAAAGAAGCACCGGCUAACUACGUG
rnacentral:rRNA from 1 species